rnacentral:rRNA from 1 species
AGGAGCUUGCUCCUUGGGUGACGAGUGGCGGACGGGUGAGUAAUGUCUGGGAAACUGCCCGAUGGAGGGGGAUAACUACUGGAAACGGUAGCUAAUACCGCAUAACGUCGCAAGACCAAAGAGGGGGACCUUCGGGCCUCUUGCCAUCGGAUGUGCCCAGAUGGGAUUAGCUAGUAGGUGGGGUAACGGCUCACCUAGGCGACGAUCCCUAGCUGGUCUGAGAGGAUGACCAGCCACACUGGAACUGAGACACGGUCCAGACUCCUACGGGAGGCAGCAGUGGGGAAUAUUGCACAAUGGGCGCAAGCCUGAUGCAGCCAUGCCGCGUGUAUGAAGAAGGCCUUCGGGUUGUAAAGUACUUUCAGCGAGGAGGAAGGCGUUGUGGUUAAUAACCGCAACGAUUGACGUUACUCGCAGAAGAAGCACCGGCUAACUCCGUGCCAGCAGCCGCGGUAAUACGGAGGGUGCAAGCGUUAAUCGGAAUUACUGGGCGUAAAGCGCACGCAGGCGGUCUGUCAAGUCGGAUGUGAAAUCCCCGGGCUCAACCUGGGAACUGCAUCCGAAACUGGCAGGCUAGAGUCUUGUAGAGGGGGGUAGAAUUCCAGGUGUAGCGGUGAAAUGCGUAGAGAUCUGGAGGAAUACCGGUGGCGAA